rnacentral:rRNA from 1 species
UGGUGGAGUGAUUUGUCUGGUUAAUUCCGAUAACGAACGAGACCUUAACCUGCUAAAUAGCUACGUUAUGCUUUGUCAUGACGGUUAGCUUCUUAGAGGGACUGCCAGUGUUUAACUGGCGGAAGUUUGAGGCAAUAACA